AGUCACACAGGGAAGGAGAUGCCCCUUCAGAUAGGAGAGAAAUACAUACAAAAUGCAAAAUACUAGCAAUUACACAUAAGAUUCAGCAGAAGGGAGCCAGGGAGCCCAGUAAGUACCGCUUUGUACAUGGCAUCUAUAUGCAGAUACAACAGCACCUGCUUAUCACAUACCUCUGAUAAAAAGGCCCACAAGAGGGCAGGGAAAGGCUGCAAACCUGGCACAGCCCCUGGUCCACGUGUCCCAAAGAGAUAAGGCUGUGGCUCUGAAAACCACUUGGAGACGUACCUGGAAUGACAGCAAGGAUCAUGGGAACAGAAAACAGCAUGUCCUAGGAGUGAUGAUUGUUAGAGCUUUGGAUAAGAAGAAAGAUUAGAAAGAUGUCAGGUGUUACCCUGAUUUAGUUUCUUGUUUCCUUCCACUGAAAGAUUUUGCUCCCUCUUCCACUGAAACCCGAACUGGCAAGUGAUGCUUCCCAUCCCCACCAAAAAGUCCACGUCCAAGGUGGCUGGCUCAGCGUGCGAUUCUUGCGUGCCCUGCUAAUCGUCAGUCUGCCACAGGGGUCAGUGGGGAUCAGCGCCAUUUUUGCAUUUGCAAAUGUCCAGAGUUCUGCUUAACAGGUUGCUCCUUAAAAGACUCUUUACAUGUAGGAGUAAUUCACAGGAAGUCAGAGUCCCACAUCCAGCCCACUAAUAGCUAAUGCAAAUGAAGAGGGCUGAAAAAGGAGAUAAAACGGGGUCAGUGAGAAACCAAAGGGGAACGUCACUGUUUGCAGGAGUAAGAAAGCAUCUUUCAGAACUACAGCCCUUAAUGAGAGAAGCCUUCUAACAUAGCUAUCGGCAAGAACCAAGCAGGUGCAUGGAAUGUUGGACGGGGGCUGGAAAAGAAACAGGAAAACGACAACAACAAGCCUGCCUAGAAGAUGGUCUCUGCGGGAGAAAGAAGCCUGUCUACAGUGAGGAAGAAAAAAGAUAGACGCCGCGAUGGGAAAAUACAGAGGAGGCUGAGAGAGGAACAUGCCAUUAGCUGGAAGCCCUGUACAAUUCAGUGGACAAGGAAGUGCAACUGGGAAACACGCACCUCUUAGGGAAGCUUGUGACUGCCAGAUGCAUAGGCUGUGGAAUUAAAAUUAGGAUCCACUGAGCCCCACGAGGCUUCGUAGCAGUGAUAAAGGGGUCUGGAAUAUUUCAAGGAGGACAAACCGUGGGGGAGAGGAAGCACCCAGCUCUGGCAAUCUUUCCUCAUUAGCCUUAUCUCAACCUCUCUGUCCCUUCCUUUUAAGUUCUCUUGUUCUACUUGCACUACAGCAUUCAAUGAUGCCUUUUGAUAAAAA